GGAGGGGACGCGCUGCAGGGCGGCGGAGCCGGAGCCGGCCCGGGCGCUACCAAACGCGCGGCCUGCCCGCUCGCCCGGGGUCUGCGCCGAGCCGCGCUCCGGCCGGACGGCCGCAGCGUCCUCGGUGCGGGGGCCGGCAGCUCCCAAGUGGCCGCGGACGGCGGGGGAGAAGGAACGCGCGCCGCCAGCCGGGAUUGGCCUCCUGGUCCCCCCGCCUGGGCGGCGGAGUGCGGGCGGCCCGGGGCUGGGAGGUUUGAAAAGCGGGCGAGAGACAAAGGCAGCAGGAAGCCUCCUCCGCGCCCGGAGCCCGUGCGCCGGGUCCCCGGGGCCCCCUCGCCGCCCGCCGGCCCGCGGAGCAGCGGCGGCGGCAGGAGGCGGAGGAUGCGGCAGGGGGCGUGGGCGCGGCGGCGCGGGCGGAGCGGCGCGGCCCGGGCGCGGCGUGGGUAGAGCCGAGGCGGCGGCGGCCGGCCUCCGGGAGCGAGAGCGAGGCGCCUUCCCCGCCCGGGAUGUGAGCGCCGCGCGGAGCCCGGGGCGGGGGAGGGCCGGGCCGGAGGCGCAGCCGGCAGGAAGGAAGGACGGACCAGGAGGAGGAGCGGCGGCGGCGGCCGGAGCCGGAAGGCGGGGAGGGGCCGGCCGUUGGGCCCGAGGCGGCGGCAGCGGCGGCGGCUGGGGAGAAGCGCUCUCGUCGCCUGCCCGAGUCCGGAGCGGCGGGGCCCGCGCCUCCUCCCCCCAGCGCCGCGGAGGGGGGAGGAGGAAGAUGGAGACCCACAUCUCAUGCCUGUUCCCGGAGCUGCUGGCCAUGAUCUUCGGCUACCUGGACGUCCGGGACAAGGGGCGCGCGGCGCAGGUGUGCACGGCCUGGCGAGACGCCGCCUACCACAAGUCGGUGUGGCGGGGGGUGGAGGCCAAGCUGCACCUGCGCCGGGCCAACCCGUCGCUGUUCCCCAGCCUGCAGGCCCGGGGCAUCCGCCGGGUGCAGAUCCUGAGCCUCCGCCGCAGCCUCAGCUACGUGAUCCAGGGCAUGGCCAACAUCGAGAGCCUCAACCUCAGCGGCUGCUACAACCUCACCGACAACGGGCUGGGCCACGCGUUUGUGCAGGAGAUCGGCUCCCUGCGCGCUCUCAACCUGAGCCUCUGCAAGCAGAUCACUGACAGCAGCCUGGGCCGCAUAGCCCAGUAUCUUAAGGGCCUGGAGGUGCUGGAGCUGGGGGGUUGCAGCAACAUCACCAACACUGGCCUUUUGCUCAUCGCCUGGGGUCUGCAGCGCCUCAAGAGCCUUAACCUCCGCAGCUGCCGCCACCUCUCGGAUGUCGGCAUCGGGCACCUGGCCGGCAUGACGCGCAGCGCUGCGGAGGGCUGCCUGGGCCUGGAGCAGCUCACGCUACAGGACUGCCAGAAGCUCACAGAUCUUUCUCUAAAGCACAUCUCCCGAGGGCUGACGGGCCUGAGGCUCCUCAACCUCAGCUUCUGUGGGGGCAUCUCGGACGCUGGCCUCCUGCACCUGUCGCACAUGGGCAGCCUGCGCAGCCUCAACCUGCGCUCCUGUGACAACAUCAGUGACACGGGCAUCAUGCAUCUGGCCAUGGGCAGCCUACGCCUCUCGGGGCUGGAUGUGUCGUUCUGUGACAAGGUGGGAGACCAGAGUCUGGCUUACAUAGCCCAGGGGCUGGAUGGCCUCAAGUCUCUCUCCCUCUGCUCCUGCCACAUCAGUGAUGAUGGCAUCAACCGCAUGGUGCGGCAGAUGCACGGGCUGCGCACGCUCAACAUUGGACAGUGUGUGCGCAUCACGGACAAGGGCCUGGAGCUGAUCGCUGAGCACCUGAGCCAGCUCACCGGCAUAGACCUGUACGGCUGCACCCGAAUCACCAAGCGCGGCCUGGAGCGCAUCACGCAGCUGCCCUGCCUCAAGGUACUCAACCUGGGACUCUGGCAGAUGACGGACAGUGAGAAGGAGGCACGAGGGGAUUUUUCUCCAUUAUUCACUGUGAGAACUCGGGGAAGCUCCAGAAGGGAAUACUUUAUGAAGGAAAAAGGAUUUACAGAGGACUGGGGAUAAGAGAUGGAGGGAAGCUGAACAGAAGGCAAACGAAACUGGCUGAGCCUCUUCAGAACAGAGGACAAUUCCUGAUGUUCCUCUGAAAAUGUCCUUAGAGGAUAUCUGAACACAGAGACAGAUAUGCGCUGUCUUUUUGAAGACAGUGCGAAGACACAGAGAGGCCACAUGAAGGUUGGGGACUGAGUGACGUUCUGCAGUCUAGGAAUGCCAAAGACGGCCAGCAAAUCACCAGAUGUGGGGAGAGAGGCCUGGAGCAGCUUCUCCUCACAGCCUCAGAAGGAACCAAUCCUGCCAACACCUUCAUCUUGGACUUGGGGCCUCCAGAACUGUGAGAAAGUACAUUGCUGUUGUUUGAAGCCCUCCAGCUUGGUGGUACUUUGUUUCCGCAGCUCUAGGAAACCAUACGUACAGCAGACGCAAAAGGAGAGCUGUGGGAGACUGCAUAUUGUAGGCUUGGCAGGUGAUUUUUGAAUUGUUGGGUUAGCCAGCUAAUUAAGCAGCUAGCACACAGCAAGAGCUCAAUAAACACUUGGUGAGUGACGAAUGGGAGCCUGGGGAGAAGGAGUAAAGAUGGGUUCCCAGGGAGAAUGCUGGGAUGUGGAGGAAAUGCAGUCCCAGUCUCAGGCACGUUGAAUCUCUCCAGAGAGAGAGAUCUAGAGGCAGCUGGAGCACAGCCAUGAAGCUUGGGAGCCAGAGAUUAAGUUUUGGGAAUCAUCCAUAUAGAGAUAAUAGAUUAGAUGCAGUUAAACAUUAUAUAGAAAAAAGAAAAGAGCGCUACAGGCAGACACACUGUAAUUUGAGGUCUCAGAAAAGGAUGGAGAAAAAGUAGAGGAAAGAGACAAGUCCAGCAUCACAGAAGACAGGAGAGGAGAUUUCAGGGAGGAGGACCCAGCUACAAGAAAACAGAAAAGGAAGACCUGUCUCAAGUGAUCGGUUUUCCAUGUCACAACUGCUGUGUUGUUUUGUUUAACCUAAAUCCAUGACAAUUCCUGAAUGAUUUCCAACACAGCAGCUUUUGAAUUUCUUAAAUUCAAGAAAGAUUUUGGAGGAAAAGAUGAAGACGUUAGUAUUUUAAUCCUGAGUGUUUCAAUAGUAAUCUCAGCCUAAGGAGCUCAAAGACUGUGGGACAGGCAAACAAUCUAGGAGUGAAUAUUAUGUCCCUAAUAAAAAGGCUUGGCUGGGUGCAGUGGCUCACGCCUGUGAUCCCAGCCUUAGGGAGGCCAAGGCGGGCGGAUCACGAGGUCAGAAGAUCAAGACCAUUCUGGCUAACAUGGUGAAACCUCAUCUCUACUAAAAAUACAAAAAAAUUAGCCGGGCAUGGUGGCGGGCGCCUGCAG